rnacentral:rRNA from 1 species
AGUGAGCGCUGGCGGUAGGCCUAACACAUGCAAGUCGAACGGCGGCACAGUAAGAGCUUGCUCUUACGGGUGGCGAGUGGCGGACGGGUGAGGAAUACAUCGGAAUCUACUUUUUCGUGGGGGAUAACGUAGGGAAACUUACGCUAAUACCGCAUACGACCUACGGGUGAAAGCAGGGGAUCUUCGGACCUUGCGCGAUUGAAUGAGCCGAUGUCGGAUUAGCUAGUUGGCGGGGUAAAGGCCCACCAAGGCGACGAUCCGUAGCUGGUCUGAGAGGAUGAUCAGCCACACUGGAACUGAGACACGGUCCAGACUCCUACGGGAGGCAGCAGUGGGGAAUAUUGGACAAUGGGCGCAAGCCUGAUCCAGCCAUACCGCGUGGGUGAAGAAGGCCUUCGGGUUGUAAAGCCCUUUUGUUGGGAAAGAAAAGCAGCAGGUUAAUACCCCGCUGUUCUGACGGUACCCAAAGAAUAAGCACCGGCUAACUUCGUG